rnacentral:lncRNA from 1 species
CAUGAAGCCACCAAAUGGGUGUGUUUCUAGAAUGAGAUUUCUAAUGCUAACAUUUUAAAGUAGGAGGUACCUUGUAUGAUGAUGAGUGGGUGCUUUUUUUCCAUUAGAAGACAUGCUACAGAUCUUCGGUCAUACAAUGGAACGAGGAGAGCUCCCUGAUGUUUGUUUUUCUUCAAAUUGGGCUACUGCCAAGUUAACAACACAUGCUUCCUUAGGAUGUUUGGAGGUCUCUCCUCGGCAGGAAAGCAAUCACAGCCUGGCUGGGUAGCACUCCACAGCCCAAAGAUGGAUAGUAGCAAAACUGAGGUAGAGGAUGUACUGAAAUGAACCCUGUUGUCAGCCCACAAUAGCUCAGGAUUUGUUAGUACGCAUGCUG